UUGGUGCUAGUUUUUCUCCCUAUGUGUUCCUGCAGACCCUUUUUGGGGCUUUUUUGCCCCAAUGUGGCUGUUGGCGGCUGUGAAUCCUCAACACUGGAAUGGGGGGGUCUGGAAGAAACACCCACGAGACACAACCAAGUCCCAACCCCCCUCCAUGACACCAAAAACAGCCGAAAACGCCCCAAAACCCCCAAAUCCGCACCCUGGCAACAGAGAGAAGCCAAAAACCAGUUUUGUGCCUUCCCCCCCCCCCCCCCCACCUUCCACCGGCGUUUUGGGGGGGUUUUACGUUAGUUUUUCCUAUGGGAAGCUCCUGAAGCUACUCGGGAUGAAAGUCCUCAUUUUCCAGCUCCGUUUUGGGGGGGAAAAGGGGGGGUUCUUCCAAGCUGCCUCCCAGCACGGCAUCUGCGGAAAGGCUGGGAACAGGCCCCCCGACACCCCCGUCCCCCCCCCCAAAACCCAACGGCAACACCCAAACCCCCCCAAUUCACCCCAAACUCUUACUUCCGCCCGGUGCCGCGGUACCACAUCACUGCCUUUGGCCCCGAGGGGCGCUGGGCCAAGCUCCCGCUUUGGGUGCAGAUUGGCCGGUUUUGGUCAAACCCUGGCCCUCAGAAUCGCUUUUUUGCUUUGCUUGGCAUUUUUCUCACCAUUAUCUGCCUUUUUCCUGCGUUUUUCCUGCAUUUUCCUGCGUUUUUCCUGUGUUUUUUUUUCCUGUUUUCCUGCAUCUUGGCUGCUUCUCUGAGGGUGGAAACACACUCGAGACCCCCCCCCCCCCAAAAAAAACCCCAUUUCCCCCCUUUGUCCCCCCUUUCCGGAGCCUGCUGCCCACCCCUCCCGCACGCCGCCGCUGCGGGAGCGGCCGGAAGGAGGCGGGAGCACUUACUGCGCGGCGCCGGCGGGAGCUGCGGCGCAGCCGGAGCUUGGGGAUGCUGGAGGGGGGGGGGAUUUUCCCAUUUCUUGGGAGUUUUAUGGCAAAAGGGGGCGGCGGAGCAGCGCCCGCGGUGCCUGCAAUGACAAGAGCCCCCCAGAGCCCCCCCCAACACCACAACCCCCCCCCAAAAUCGCCCCCAGACGGGGCCGGGCCUCACCGGCUGCGGCUCCUGCUCCAGCCCCACAAGCUCCGGCUCCUCUCGGCUUUGCCUUCCCUCAACGCCUCAAACCUCCCGCGGCGCUGCCGGCUCCGGCGCCGCUGCCCCAUUGCUCGGCUCUUCCCGCCUUCCUCCGGCCGCUCGGGGGGGCUCCCCCCCCGCUCUAGCUCUGGUCCCGCCGGCGCCGCUGCUCCGAGCGCUGCUUCUCCUCGCUCCACCUCCCGCUCCCGCUUCCUGGGCUCCCCGCUCCGCUCCCCGCGGCUCCCGCCGCUCCUCGCCAGCGGCCGCUCGCUGCCGGGCUCUGCCGCCGCUUCGCUCCUUUUGGCUGUUUCCCGGUUUCCUUUUUUCCUAUUUUCUUCUCUAUUUUUUCUAUUUUUUCCUCAACGUUUUGAAUUUUUUCUUUUGGCUCAAUUUCCCCAAAUUUAUUUUCCUCAAUUUUCUUCUUCCUGAAUUUUCUUUUUUUCCUGUUUUCUAUUUUUUCUCUCUUUUAGUUUUUCUCUCAAUUUUUUUUCUCAAUUUCUCGGCAUUAUUUUCUUUUUUUCUAUUUUCUCUUUUAUCUUUUUUGCAGCGUUUUUCCUCAAUUUUUUUCCAAUUUUUCUUUUUUCAUUUUUCUUAUUUUUUCUCAAUUUUAUAUUUUCCUUUUUCAAUUUUUAAUUUUUUUUCUCUUUCCUUUUUGCCUCUUUUUCCUCUAUUUUCUUCUCUUUUUUCCUCUAUUUUUUCCUGUAUUUUCUUUUUCUCUUUUUUCCUCUAUUUUCUUCUCUUUUUUCCUCUAUUUUCUUUUUCUAUUUUUUCCUCUAUUUUUCCUCUAUUUUCUUUUUUUUUCCUCUAUUUUUUCCUGUAUUUUCUUUUUUCUCUUUCUUUCCUCUAUUUUCUCUUCCUAUUUCCUCGCCUGGUUCUUCUCCAUCUCCUCCUCGUCUGUCUCUUCCCUCCGCCGUCUCCUCGGGCUCUCUCUCCCCUCAGGCUGCUGCCGCAUCUACCGCGUCCUUUCCGCGCCGCGGAGCCUCCGGAGCGCUCCCUCAGCCCGUGCCCGGAGCUCCGGAACGGGCCCUAAAGCGGCUUUAGGGGCUGCUCUAAAGAAUGAAAGCGCUUUAGGAGCGUUCUAGAAGCAAGAAACCAGCUUUAAGAGCUGCAGCGAGGAAGAAAUCUGCUUUAGGAGCUCUUCUUCCUCCCACGAAAGCCGCUCGGAAAGGGGGGUUUCCCUGAGGCGCUCGCCCCGGCUUCUCUAACCCAGCGAAUCGCGGCGGUUUAAGCGCUGGCAAAAGAACCUGCUCCUCAAAGCAAGCAGCCGGGGAAGCUCCGGGUUUAAAGGAAACCGGCUUUAAGAGCUCCGAUCUCAAAGAAAACCGGCUUUAAGAGCUUCGGUUUUAAAACUACAACAGCUUUAAGAGCUCCCUGUUUCUAAACCAAAGCAGAUCCGAGGUUUCAUUAAGAAGCCCCCAGCUCGCUCUUGGCUUUUCAAACGACUGAAAUGCCACGUUUUAAACUAUCAAAAAAUCAAAGAAAACAGCUUUAGGAGCUAUUUUUCUUUAAAGAAAACAGCUUUAAGAGCCUUUUUUCUUUAAAUAAAGUCGCUUUAAGAGCUUUUUUCUUUAAAUGAAGACGCUUUAAAAGCAUUUUCCCUUAAGUAAAGCUGCUGGAAGCCCCUUUUUAAAAAGCUAACGCCGCUUUAAGAGCGUUUGGGUCAAAAAGAAGCCGAUUUCAGAGGCAAAGGAGCAGCCCCGCAGCAGGAAUCGCCCUCGCACAAGCGUUAAUGGCGAUUGGGGCCGGGCCCUCCCCGCGCCCCCUU
rnacentral:lncRNA from 1 species